rnacentral:pre_miRNA from 1 species
AAUCUACUCCCUCCGUUCGGAAUUACUUGUCAGAGAAAUGGAUGUAUCUAGAUGUAUUUUAGUUUUAAAUACAUCUAUUUUCGAGACAAGUAAUUCCGAACGGAGGGAGUACUCC